rnacentral:tRNA from 1 species
GCAUUAAUGGGGUAGUGGUAACCUGGGUCGUUGCCAUUCGAGUUCGAAACUCGACCCGCCGGGGGUUCGAUUCCCCCUUAAUGCA